GAUGAACGCUGGCGGCGUGCCUAAUACAUGCAAGUCGAACGCAUAGCGAAAGGUGCUUGCACCUUUCAAGUGAGUGGCGAACGGGUGAGUAACACGUGGACAACCUGCCUCAAGGCUGGGGAUAACAUUUGGAAACAGAUGCUAAUACCGAAUAAAACUUAGUGUCGCAUGACACAAAGUUAAAAGGCGCUUCGGCGUCACCUAGAGAUGGAUCCGCGGUGCAUUAGUUAGUUGGUGGGGUAAAGGCCUACUAAGACAAUGAUGCAUAGCCGAGUUGAGAGACUGAUCGGCCACAUUGGGACUGAGACACGGCCCAAACUCCUACGGGAGGCUGCAGUAGGGAAUCUUCCACAAUGGGCGAAAGCCUGAUGGAGCAACGCCGCGUGUGUGAUGAAGGCGUUCGGGUCGUAAAGCACUGUUGUAUGGGAAGAACAGCUAGAAUAGGAAAUGAUUUUAGUUUGACGGUACCAUACCAGAAAGGGACGGCUAAAUACGUG
rnacentral:rRNA from 1 species